UCUCCGUUGGUGAACCAGCGGAGGGAUCAUUACCGAGUUUACAACUCCCAAACCCCUAUGUGAACGUUACCAAACUGUUGCCUCGGCGGGAAAUUCAUGCCCCGGGCGCGUCGCAGCCCCGGACCAAGGCGCCCGCCGGAGGACCAACCAAAACUCUUUUGUAUGUCCCUCGCGGACUUUUAUAAUUCUGAACCAUCUCGGCGCCCCUAGCGGGCGUUUCGAAAAUGAAUCAAAACCUUCAACAACGGAUCUCUUGGUUCUG
rnacentral:misc_RNA from 1 species